CCCUGGCUCAGAACGAACGCUGGCGGCAGGCUUAACACAUGCAAGUCGAGCGCCUCGCAAGAGGAGCGGCAGACGGGUGAGUAACGCGUGGGAAUCUACCCAUCUCUACGGAAUAACUCAGGGAAACUUGUGCUAAUACCGUAUACGCCCUUCGGGGGAAAGAUUUAUCGGAGAUGGAUGAGCCCGCGUUGGAUUAGCUAGUUGGUGGGGUAAAGGCCUACCAAGGCGACGAUCCAUAGCUGGUCUGAGAGGAUGAUCAGCCACAUUGGGACUGAGACACGGCCCAAACUCCUACGGGAGGCAGCAGUGGGGAAUAUUGGACAAUGGGCGCAAGCCUGAUCCAGCCAUGCCGCGUGAGUGAUGAAGGCCUUAGGGUUGUAAAGCUCUUUCCACCGGAGAAGAUAAUGACGGUAUUCCGGAGAAGAAGCCCCCGGCUAACU
rnacentral:rRNA from 1 species